CCUACGGGUGGCAGCAGUGGGGGAUAUUGCACAAUGGGGGGAACCCUGAUGCAGCGACGCCGCGUGGGUGAAGGAGCGUUUCGGCGCGUAAAGCCCUAUCGGCAGGGAAGAAGAUGACGGUACCUGACCAAGAAGCCCCGGCUAACCACGUGCCAGCAGCCGCGGUAAUACGGAGGGGGCAAGCGGUAUCCGGAUUGACUGGGGGUAAAGGGGGCGCAGGCGGGAAUGCAAGCCAGGAGUGAAAGCCGGGGGCCCAACCCCGGGACUGCUCUUGGAACUGCAUGGCUGGAGUACAGGAGGGGUAGGCGGAAUUCGUGGUGUAGCGGUGAAAUGCGUAGAUAUUAGGAAGAACCCCGGUGGCGAAGGCGGCCUGCUGGACUGUGACUGACGUUGAGGCCCGAAGGCGUGGGGAGCAAACAGGAUUAGAUACCCGGGUAGUC
rnacentral:rRNA from 1 species